UGCAGAAGCCAUUCUGACCCCGGGCUACGAUCUCGUCAGAUCUCAUAAGCGAAAGAGGUCCAGGUCUGGCCGGGACUGUGGGAGACACCUGGGAGGGAACCCCCGAUGCUUCAGGAA
rnacentral:rRNA from 1 species